UUUAGAAUGGAUAACACUGAUAUUAUAUUACAUCCAAUAAAUAUAAUCAUAGGGUUGGACCUUAUAUAUUAGAAUAUAGAGUGAAGCCCAACUACUCCGACCUUAAGAGAAAUUUAGAAUGAAUGGAGGGGCGUUUGUUCCAGUGAAGUUCUGCAAGGCAUCAGUGAUCAAGUGUCAAACCAUCCCAAAUCCAUAAACUACCUUUAAUUGUUUCUAAAGGGUAACUCAUGUCCUCUCUCUGCAAUUUCGGUUAUUCUUUGAGAUUUGGAUACCUAGAAGUGAAAUUUAAGAUGAAGUAUUUUGGAUUUAAAUGACGAAAAUACUUGAAGCAGAGUUGAGGGAUAGUGAAAAGAUGCUCAUACAGUAGCAAUUCACAAGAUGUCUUGGGUGAAAUACAUCUAAAUCCUCCAAAGGCUUUAAAGGACUUAAAUAAUGCAAGUCUUUGCAAAUCAAGUGAGGCUACAAAUCAGAUUAUUCAAGGUGAAGUGUGAAUGGUAAUUUGAUUAGCCCAAACGACACGAGAAGUUGAAGCUACGCUCAAAACUCGUGCUACAAGCCUGGCUUCGCCAGCUUCUCCUAUUCAACUGCUCCCGCGCACGCUUUCGACUUAUACUAUUGGUGAAGACGGAGCUAGUAGCUGAUGAGUUCGCUAGAGUUGAUUCAGUUAUUGAG